CCUACGGGAGGCAGCAGUGGGGAAUAUUGCACAAUGGGGGAAACCCUGAUGCAGCAACGCCGCGUGGGUGAAGAAGUAUUUCGGUAUGUAAAGCCCUAUCAGCAGGGAAGAGAAUGACGGUACCUGACUAAGAAGCCCCGGCUAACUCCGUGCCAGCAGCCGCGGUAAUACGUAGGGGGCAAGCGUUAUCCGGAUUUACUGGGUGUGAAGGGAGCGUAGACGGGUUUGCAAGUCAGAAGUGAAAGCCCGGGGCUCAACUUCGGCACGGCUUUGGAAACUGUGGGAUUGGAGUGCUGGAGAGGUAGGCGGAAUGCGUGGUGUAGCGGUGAAAUGCGUAGAGAUCAGGAGGAACACCGGCGGCGAAGGCGGCUUACUGGACAGUAACUGACGUUGAGGCACGAAAGCGUGGGGAGCGAACAGGAUUAGAUACCCCUGUAGUC
rnacentral:rRNA from 1 species